GCGGCCUAUCAGCUUGUUGGUGAGGUAAUGGCUCACCAAGGCGACGACGGGUAGCCGGCCUGAGAGGGCGACCGGCCACACUGGGACUGAGACACGGCCCAGACUCCUACGGGAGGCAGCAGUGGGGAAUAUUGGGCAAUGGAGGAAACUCUGACCCAGCGACGACGCGUGAGGGAUGAAGGCCUUCGGGUUGUAAACCUCUUUCAGUAGGGAAGAAGCGAAAGUGACGGUACCUACAGAAGAAGCACCGGCUAACUAUGUGCCAGCAGCCGCGGUAAUACAUAGGGUGCAAGCGUUGUCCGGAAUUAUUGGGCGUAAAGAGCUCGUAGGUGGUUCGAUACGUCGGAUGUGAAAAUCAGGGGCUCAACCCCUGACCUGCAUCCGAUACGGUCGAGCUGGAGUUUGGUAGGGGAGACUGGAAUUCCU
rnacentral:rRNA from 1 species